rnacentral:RNase_P_RNA from 1 species
UGGCGUGGGGGUUUCGUCGCUGCCUCCUUCGGGAGGGAGAGGAAAGUCCGAGCAACGCAGAGCGCCGUGCUUUCUAACGGAAAGUUGUCGGUAACGGCAAGGUUAAAGGUAACAGAAAAGAACCGCCCGCAAGGGUAAGGGUGAAAAGGCGGGGUAAGAGCCCACCGCCCGUGUGGCAACACAUUGGGGACAGUACUACCGACGGGUUGCAAGCUCAAGUAUAUCGACAGUAUGUAGGGUUGCUCGCCCGAUGUCGAGGGGUAGAGUGCUUUAGCCUAU